rnacentral:rRNA from 1 species
GACGAACGCUGGCGGCGUGCUUAACACAUGCAAGUCGAACGGAAAGGCCCUGCUUUUGUGGGGUGCUCGAGUGGCGAACGGGUGAGUAACACGUGAGUAACCUGCCCUUGACUUUGGGAUAACUUCAGGAAACUGGGGCUAAUACCGGAUAGGAGCUCCUGCUGCAUGGUGGGGGUUGGAAAGUUUCGGCGGUUGGGGAUGGACUCGCGGCUUAUCAGCUUGUUGGUGGGGUAGUGGCUUACCAAGGCUUUGACGGGUAGCCGGCCUGAGAGGGUGACCGGCCACAUUGGGACUGAGAUACGGCCCAGGAUCCUACGGGAGGCAGCAGUGGGGAAUAUUGCACCAUGGGCGGAAGCCUGAUGCAGCAACGCCGCGUGCGGGAUGACGGCCUUCGGGUUGUAAACCGCUUUCGCCUGUGACGAAGCGUGAGUGAAGGUAAUGGGUAAAGAAGGACCGGCUAACUACGUG